rnacentral:rRNA from 1 species
UACGUAGGGGGCAAGCGUUGUCCGGAAUCAUUGGGCGUAAAGAGCGUGUAGGCGGCUCGGUAAGUCCGCUGUGAAAGUCCAGGGCUCAACCCUGGAAAGCCGGUGGAAACUGUCGAGCUAGAGUCCGGAAGAGGCGAGUGGAAUUCCUGGUGUAGCGGUGAAAUGCGCAGAUAUCAGGAGGAACACCAAUGGCGAAGGCAGCUCGCUGGGACGGUACUGACGCUGAGACGCGAAAGCGUGGGGAGCAAACAGG